rnacentral:lncRNA from 10 species
AAGAUCAGCCUGGCCAACAAGGUGAAACCCUGUCUCUACUGAAAAUACAAAAAUUAGCUGGGCAUGGUGGUGGGCGCCUGUAGUCCCAGCGACACGGAGGCUGAGUCCAGACUCUGGGUACUUCUGCCACCUUCUGCCACUGCCCCCGUGUCCAGGCCACGUCACCACGUCUCUGGAUGGGCUCCCUCCUCCGCCUCUGCCACCCCCUCCUGCUCCCCCCUACAGUCCAUUCUCAACACAGAAGCAGCAGGGCUGCUUGAAAACCCGAG